UACAGAGGGUGCAAGCGUUAAUCGGAUUUACUGGGCGUAAAGGGCGCGUAGGUGGUUGUUUAAGUGAACUGUGAAAUCCCCGGGCUUAACCUGGGAACUGCAGUUUAUACUGGGCAACUGGAGUGCAAUAGAGGGUAGUGGAAUUUCCGGUGUAGCGGUGAAAUUCGUAGAUAUUCGGAAGAACACCAGUGGCGAAGGCGAACUUACUGGACACAUAUUGACGCUGAGGUGCGAAAGCGUGGGGAGCAAACAGG
rnacentral:rRNA from 1 species